rnacentral:rRNA from 1 species
UAGUCCUACGGGGGGCAGCAGUAGGGAAUCUUCCACAAUGGACGAAAGUCUGAUGGAGCAACGCCGCGUGAGUGAAGAAGGGUUUCGGCUCGUAAAGCUCUGUUGGUAGUGGAGAAAGAUAGAGGUAGUAACUGGCCUUUAUUUGACGGUAAUUACUUAGAAAGUCACGGCUAAAUACGUGCCAGCAGCCGCGGUAAUACGUAGGGGGCAAGCGUUGUUCGGAUUUAUUGGGCGUAAAACGCGUGCAGGCGGUGUCAUAAAAUUGAUGUGUGAGAC